GACGAACGCUGGCGGCGUGCUUAACACAUGCAAGUCGAACGGAAAGGCCCUGCUUUUGUGGGGUGCUCGAGUGGCGAACGGGUGAGUAACACGUGAGUAACCUGCCCUUGACUUUGGGAUAACUUCAGGAAACUGGGGCUAAUACCGGAUAGGAGCUCCUGCUGCAUGGUGGGGGUUGGAAAGUUUCGGCGGUUGGGGAUGGACUCGCGGCUUAUCAGCUUGUUGGUGGGGUAGUGGCUUACCAAGGCUUUGACGGGUAGCCGGCCUGAGAGGGUGACCGGCGACAAGGGGACUGAGAUACGGACCAGAAUGCAACGGGAGGCAGUAGGGGGGAAUAUUGCACAGCGGGCGGAAGCCUGAUGCGGAAACGCUGGGUGCGGGAUGACGGGCUUCGGGUUGAAAACCGCUUUGGACUGUGACGAAGAGUGAGUGACGGUAACGGGUAAAGAAGCACCGGCUAACUACGUG
rnacentral:rRNA from 1 species